rnacentral:rRNA from 1 species
CGGCAAAAGCUCAAAUUUGAAAUCUAGCACCUUCGGUGUUCGAGUUGUAAUUUGAAGAUGGUAACCUUGGGUUUGGCUCUUGUCUAUGUUCCUUGGAACAGGACGUCAUAGAGGGUGAGAAUCCCGUCUGAUGAGAUGCCCAUUCCUAUGUAAGGUGCUAUCGAAGAGUCGAGUUGUUUGGGAAUGCAGCUCUAAGUGGGUGGUAAAUUCCAUCUAAAGCUAAAUAUUGGCGAGAGACCGAUAGCGAACAAGUACAGUGAUGGAAAGAUGAAAAGAACUUUGAAAAGAGAGUGAAAAAGUACGUGAAAUUGUUGAAAGGGAAGGGCAUUAGAUCAGACUUGGUGUUUUACGAUUAUCUUCUCUUCUUGAGUUGUGCACUCGUAUUUCACUGGGCCAGCAUCGAUUCGGAUGGCAAGAUAAUGGCAGUUGAAUGUGGCUUCACUUCGGUGGAGUGUUAUAGCUUCUGCUGAUAUUGCCUGUCUGGAUCGAGGGCUGCGUCUUUUGACUAGGAUGCUGGCGUAAUGAUCUAAUGCCGCCCGUCUU